UUGAAUUCAUUUAUUAUGGUUUAUUAUGGUUGUUGGCAUCACCACUAGAUGGCGACUCUAAGAAAAAGGAGGUGAACAAAGGCCUGGAGGCAGUAGAAAAAGAAGCAAAGCAUGACGUUCUACGAAUGCUGUCUCAUCCACUGAAUAUGACGUCUCAUCACACUUUUGCACCAAAUUAGCCUCCGACUGUAGAUGGUGUGCGCGGUGAAGACUUGGGCCCCGGCGACCGGUACAACUCAUACUUACCUGGCAGGGGAGAUACCAUGAUCAAGAAGGUGGUUCACCCAGGGUGAGGCUCAGCCAUUGCACUCCGGUUGUGCUGACCCCUGCGAAUUCCCCAAAUGUGGGAAUCUCGACUGCAUAAUUUCUGGUAGUGGGGGACUGCGUUCGCGCUCUCCCCUGAUUCUGCUGUACAAAUCAAAAUCUAUGCAAAGGCUUCCUCAUACGAAGUCAAAAUCCAGAGUCGCCAAUUACUGUGAGAUUGGUGCAUUAAUUGUGCAUCUACUAGCCGAACUUCUUUCAACAAAUUAGUCGUUGCAAAAUAAAAUGUGCGUUCCCGACCCGUUAUUGAUACCAUCGUAUCUUUACGUAAAAAUAAUAUACCUUGAUAUAACUUUCAUAUAACCUGCUUUCUGGAAUAGCCCCCGGAUCAUUUCCCGUUCUCCAUUUACCUACACUAUAAAGAAAAACUAAUGGCCAAAAGGUACGUGGACCCAGACAUACAACUGAUUUUAUUUUCAGUACUCACACUAAAAAAUAAAUAGUCGCCCAAUCGAUAGGCGACGCUGUCAUAAGAAGUACCAACGUCAUCGUGUACCCACAAUCCUUUGCGCCGUCAUUGUUUACGAGGACGAACUACAUUUCUAAACACCAAAUACUUGUUUGAACUAUACGUCUUGUUUGGGCGUUAGGUCAUACUAAAUAUAGCAAAUACAUCAAGGUCUAUUAUUUUUAUUAAAAAAAUAAAAAGGGGUGUUACAACAUGAGUGCGACACCGCCUGCUAAUUUUGUGAGGCCAGCAAUGGGGUGGCCCGUUUCGACAUCCAUUGGACAGUUCACUCUUGUUUCUCUUCAGAUCGUAUAAAUCUUUCGCCUUUUACUAAAGAUUUCCGUGGGGAGGAACAACAAGAGUCUAUCUCAAUUUUUUGAUGCUCUGCGAAAGCGGAGCUUCCUCUCUCUGUCUAAAAAUAUUUAAAGAUCAACUGCUUCUUAUGACUAUAUGUGAUUCUCAUGUAUAUGAUGUGUGAUUUUCCUAUCGUUGUUCCAGGAUUUUUGUAGUACAAUUCUUUUUCUCAAAAUGUUAAGAAAAUGUCACUCUCAAAACUAAAGAAAUAUAUAUAAUGAAGAUUAACUGCUUCUUAUGACUGACUAUAUGUGCUUUAUACGCAGGUGCACAAAUUAGCAAAUGUCGGCAUAAGAUUUUCUUUUAUUCAAACACAGUAUUGACCAUGAUAUUGCCCUAAUAAAUUGGCCUGGUAUUAGGUCAGUGCUUCUCAAUUAUUUUCUGUUACGCCCCCCCCUAGCAAGAAGAAAUCUAUUCGCGCCCCCCCUCCCCACUGUGACUAUCCCAACUUGUCUUGUAAGUCGUAAAAUGUUGCACUGUCGCAAACGUGACAGAAGUAACAAUGAGAGCGCCACUGCCCCCUGCUGUAGUAAACCCGCAAUUACACUGUAUUCUAGUACUCCCCAAAAAAAAGCCUGUUCCCCAGGGUCACACGCGCCCCCCCAGGAAUAGCACCGCGCCCCACUAUUUGAGAAGCACUGUAUUAGGUACACUUGAAAAUGGGGUGUACCGAAAAGAGUGUCUGCGUUAUUCCCUCGUUAAGUGCACCUGCGUGAAAAGUUUUAGCUCCUGCAGAACGUGAAAGGAGCUAAAACUUUUCACGCAGGUGCGCUUAACUAGGGUCACUUGGAAAACAUGUUGGAACGUGGCCCCGAGGACUAGAGCUUGACACCUGUGACCUUUGACCAUGAUAUUUCCCUAAUAAAGUGGCCUGUUGUUUGGUACACUUGAAAAUGGCGGUGUACCCAAUAGAGUGUCUGUGUGAUUCCCUCGUUAAGUGCACCUGCGUGAAAAGUUUUGGCUCCUGCAGAACGUGAAAGGAGCUAAAACUUUUCACGCAGGUGCGCUUAACGAGAGUCACUUGGAAAACAUGUUGGAACGUGGCCCCGAGGCCUAGAGCUUGACACCUGUGACCUUUGACCAUGAUAUUUCCCUAAUAAAGUGGCCUGUUGUUUGGUACACUUGAAAAUGGCGGUGUACCCAAUAGAGUGUCUGUGUGAUUCCCUCGUUAAGUGCACCUGCGUGAAAAGUUUUGGCUCCUGCAGAACGUGAAAGGAGCUAAAACUUUUCACGCAGGUGCGCUUAACGAGAGUCACUUGGAAAACAUGUUGGAACGUGGCCCCGAGGCCUAGAGCUUGACACCUGUGACCUAUGACCAUGAUAUUUCCCUAAUAAAGUGGCCUGUAGUUAGGUACAAUUGAAAAUGGCGGUGUACCCAAUAGAGUGUCUGUGUGAUUCCUUCGUUAAGUGCACCUGCGUGAAAAGUUUUAGCUCCUGCAGAACGUGAAAGGAGCUAAAACUUUUCACGCAGGUGCGCUUAACGAGGGUAACUUGGAAAACAUAUUGGAACGCGGCCCCUUGAAACUCCAGUUCGACACCCCUGGUUUAAGUUAAGUGCCACACCCGCCCUCACUUUCUGAUCGGCUGUUUGAUCUGGGACGUCGUUCGGACUAUUAGGUACACCACCAUUUUCAGGUUCGUUCGCGAAGAUUCACCAGUAAGAGACAUCUGACACACGUUAUGCCGACAGUGAUGUUUUAAUUUUGGAUUUGCUGGAUUGUAGUUGACGGUGUUAUUAUACCGAAUGUGUUUGGUUUAAAGAAAAUCUGUUAUGACAUUUGCUUAUUUGGUAAGAACAAACUCAUAUUCGAAGUAAAUAAAACGCGUAGUCAUUCAUAAGUAGCAGUUGAUCUUUAAAUAUAUUUAGACAGAGAGAGGAAGCUCCGCUUUCGCAGAGCAUCAAAAAAUUGAGAUAGACUCUUGUUGUUCCUCCCCACGGAAAUCUUUAGUAAAAGGCGAAAGAUUUAUACGAUCUGAAGAGAAACAAGAGUGAACUGUCCAACGGAUGUCGAAACGGGCCACCCCAUUGCUGGCCUCACCAAAUUAGCAGGCGGUGUCGCACUCAUGUUGUAACAACCCCUUUUUAUUUUUUUAAUAAAAAUAAUAGACCUUGAUGUAUUUGCUAUAUUUAGUAUGACCUAACGCCCAAACAAGACGUAUAGUUCAAACAAGUAUUUGGUGUUUAGAAAUGUAGUUCGUCCUCGUAAACAAUGACGGCGCAAAGGAUUGUGGGUACACGAUGACGUUGGUACUUUUAUGACAGCGUCGCCUAUCGAUUGGGCGACUAUUUAUUUUUUAGUGUGAGUACUGAAAAUAAAAUCAGUUGUAUGUCUGGGUCCACGUACCUUAUGGCCAUUAGUUUUUCUUUAUAGUGUAGGUAAAUGGAGAACGGGAAAUGAUCCGGGGGCUAUUCCAGAAAGCAGGUUAUAUGAAAGGUAUAUUAUUUUUACGUAAAGAUACGUUGGUAUCAAUAACGGGUCGGGAACGCACAUUUUAUCUUGCAACGACUAAUUUGUUGAAAGAAGUUCGGCAAGUAGAUGCACAGUUAACGCACCAAUCGCUCAGUAUUUGGCGACUUUGAAUCUUGACUUGGUAUGAGGAAGCCUUUGCAUAGAUUUUGAAUUGUACAGCAGAAUCAGGGGAGAGCGCGAACGCAGUCCCCCACUACCAGAAAUUAUGCAGUCGAGAUUCCCACAUUUGGGGAAUUCGCAGGGGUCAGCACAACCGGAGUGCAAUGGCUGAGCCUCACCCUGGGUGAACCACCUUCUUGAUCAUGGUAUCUCCCCUGCCAGGUAAGUAUGAGUUGUACAAGUCGCCGGGGCCGAUGUCUUCACCGCGCACACCAUCUUCAGUCAAAAGCUAAAUUGGUACAAAACUGUGAGCACACAUAUUCAGUGGAUGAGACAGCAUUCGUAGAACUGUUAACAUAGUACACCUUUAGUCAUUUCAAAACCAAGUAUGUAAAAAGUAAAAAAUAGAUUCAAAAACAUGACCAUCAUGCUUUGCUUCUUUUUCUACUGCCUCCACGCCUUUGUUCACCUCCUUUUUCUUAGAGUCGCCAUCUAGUGGUGAUGCCAGCAACCAUAAUGAACCAUAAUAAAUGAAGUCAAAACAUGCCAA